GACGGAGGAUGCAAGUGUUAUCCGGAAUCACUGGGCGUAAAGCGUCUGUAGGUGGUUUAAUAAGUCAACUGUUAAAUCUUGAGGCUCAACCUCAAAAUCGCAGUCGAAACUAUUAGGCUAGAGUAUAGUAGGGGUAAAGGGAAUUUCCAGUGGAGCGGUGAAAUGCGUAGAGAUUGGAAAGAACACCGAUGGCGAAGGCACUCUACUGGGCUAUUACUAACACUCAGAGACGAAAGCUAGGGUAGCAAAUGGG
rnacentral:rRNA from 1 species